rnacentral:rRNA from 1 species
CCUACGGGGGGCAGCAGUGGGGAAUAUUGGACAAUGGGCGAAAGCCUGAUCCAGCCAUGCCGCGUGUGUGAAGAAGGCCUUCGGGUUGUAAAGCACUUUCAGUGGGGAAGAAAGCCUUGGGGCUAAUACCCUCGAGGAAGGACAUCACCCACAGAAGAAGCACCGGCUAACUCCGUGCCAGCAGCCGCGGUAAUACGGAGGGUGCGAGCGUUAAUCGGAAUUACUGGGCGUAAAGCGCGCGUAGGCGGUCUGAUAAGCCGGUUGUGAAAGCCCCGGGCUCAACCUGGGAACGGCAUCCGGAACUGUCAGGCUAGAGUGCAGGAGAGGAAGGUAGAAUUCCCGGUGUAGCGGUGAAAUGCGUAGAGAUCGGGAGGAAUACCAGUGGCGAAGGCGGCCUUCUGGACUGACACUGACGCUGAGGUGCGAAAGCGUGGGUAGCAAACAGGAUUAGAUACCCUUGUAGU